GGGGGGGGGGGGGGGGGGGGGGGGGGGGGGCGGGGGGGGGGGGGGGGCCGGGCUGGCGGGGUGCGCGCGGGGGGAAGGGGGGAGUGACACGUGGGGGGUCUGCCCUGCACUUCGGGAUAGGCUUGGGCAGCGGGGUCUAAUACCGGAGAGGAGCGAUCUUGAGUGUGGUGGUUGGAAAGUUGUUUCGGUGUAGGGUGAGCUCGCGGCCUAUCCGCGUGUUGGUGGGGUAAUGGCCUACCAAGGCGGCGACGGGUAGCCGGCCUGAGAGGGUGUACGGCCACAUUGGGACUGGGAUACGGCCCAGACUCCUACGGGGGGCAGCAGUGGGGAAUAUUGCACAAUGGGCGCAAGCCUGAUGCAGCGACGCCGCGUGGGGGAUGAAGGCCUUCGGGUUGUAAACUCCUUUCGCUAGGGACGAAGCUUUUUUGUGACGGUACCUAGAGAAGAAGCACCGGCUAACUACGUG
rnacentral:rRNA from 1 species